AUUGAACGCUGGCGGCAGGCUUAACACAUGCAAGUCGAGCGGAGAUGAGGUGCUUGCACCUUAUCUUAGCGGCGGACGGGUGAGUAAUGCUUAGGAAUCUGCCUAUUAGUGGGGGACAACAUUCCGAAAGGAAUGCUAAUACCGCAUACGCCCUACGGGGGAAAGCAGGGGAUCUUCGGACCUUGCGCUAAUAGAUGAGCCUAAGUCGGAUUAGCUAGUUGGUGGGGUAAAGGCCUACCAAGGCGACGAUCUGUAGCGGGUCUGAGAGGAUGGUCCGCUACACUGGGACUGGGACACGGCCCAGACUCCUACGGGAGGCAGCAGUGGGGAAUAUUGGACAAUGGGCGGAAGCCUGAUCCAGCCAUGCCGCGUGUGUGAAGAGGGCCUGUUGGUUGUAAAGCACUUUAAGCGAGGAGGAGGCUACCUGGAUUAAUACUCUAGGAUAGUGGACGUUACUCGCAGAAUAAGCACCGGCUAACUCUGUGCCAGCCGCCGCAGUAAAAC
rnacentral:rRNA from 1 species